GGAGAGGUGGCCGAGCGGUUUAAGGCAGCUGCCUGCUAAGCAGUUGUGGGGGCAACUCCACCCCGGGUUCAAAUCCCGGCCUCUCCG
rnacentral:tRNA from 1 species